CAUAUGGUCGACCUGCAGGCGGCCGCGAAUUCACUAGUGAUUCGUAUUACCGCGGCUGCUGGCACAGAGUUAGCCGGUGCUUAUUCUGUCGGUAACGUCAAAACAGCAAGGUAUUCGCUUACUGCCCUUCCUCCCAACUUAAAGUGCUUUACAAUCCGAAGACCUUCUUCACACACGCGGCAUGGCUGGAUCAGGCUUUCGCCCAUUGUCCAAUAUUCCCCACUGCUGCCUCCCGUAGGAGUCUGGACCGUGUCUCAGUUCCAGUGUGACUGAUCAUCCUCUCAGACCAGUUACGGAUCGUCGCCUUGGUGAGCCAUUACCUCACCAACUAGCUAAUCCGACCUAGGCUCAUCUGAUAGCGCAAGGCCCGAAGGUCCCCUGCUUUCUCCCGUAGGACGUAUGCGGUAUUAGCGUCCGUUUCCGAGCGUUAUCCCCCACUACCAGGCAGAUUCCUAGGCAUUACUCACCCGUCCGCCGCUCUCAAGAGAAGCAAGCUUCUCUCUACCGCUCGACUUGCAUGUGUUAGGCCUGCCGCCAGCGUUCAAUCUGAGCCAUGAUCAAACUCUAAUCGAAUUCCCGCGGCC
rnacentral:rRNA from 1 species